rnacentral:rRNA from 1 species
GACAGAGGGGGCAAGCGUUGCUCGGAAUUACUGGGCGUAAAGAGCUCGUAGGCGGUCUGUCGCGUCGGCUGUGAAAACCCGGAGCUCAACUCCGGGCCUGCAGUCGAUACGGGCAAACUGGAGUGUUGCAGGGGAGACUGGAAUUCCUGGUGUAGCGGUGAAAUGCGCAGAUAUCAGGAGGAACACCGGUGGCGAAGGCGGGUCUCUGGGCAACAACUGACGCUGAGGAGCGAAAGCGUGGGGAGCGAACAGG